rnacentral:rRNA from 1 species
AACGAACGCUGGCGGCAUGCCUAACACAUGCAAGUCGAACGAAGUCUUCGGACUUAGUGGCGCACGGGUGCGUAACGCGUGGGAAUCUGCCCUUGGGUACGGAAUAACUCAGAGAAAUUUGUGCUAAUACCGUAUAAUGUCUUCGGACCAAAGAUUUAUCGCCCAAGGAUGAGCCCGCGUAAGAUUAGCUAGUUGGUGGGGUAAAAGCCUACCAAGGCGACGAUCUUUAGCUGGUCUGAGAGGAUGAUCAGCCACACUGGGACUGAGACACGGCCCAGACUCCUACGGGAGGCAGCAGUGGGGAAUAUUGGACAAUGGGCGAAAGCCUGAUCCAGCAAUGCCGCGUGAGUGAUGAAGGACCUAGGGUUGUAAAGCUCUUUUACCAGGGAUGAUAAUGACAGUACCUGGAGAAUAAGCUCCGGCUAACUCCGUG